rnacentral:rRNA from 1 species
AGUGAACGCUGGCGGUAGGCCUAACACAUGCAAGUCGAACGGCAGCACAGUAAGAGCUUGCUCUUACGGGUGGCGAGUGGCGGACGGGUGAGGAAUACAUCGGAAUCUACUUUUUCGUGGGGGAUAACGUAGGGAAACUUACGCUAAUACCGCAUACGACCUACGGGUGAAAGCAGGGGAUCUUCGGACCUUGCGCGAUUGAAUGAGCCGAUGUCGGAUUAGCUAGUUGGCGGGGUAAAGGCCCACCAAGGCGACGAUCCGUAGCUGGUCUGAGAGGAUGAUCAGCCACCCUGGAACUGAGACACGGUCCAGACUCCUACGGGAGGCAGCAGUGGGGAAUAUUGGACAAUGGGCGGAAGCCUGAUCCAGCCAUACCGCGUGGGUGAAGAAGGCCUUCGGGUUGUAAAGCCCUUUUGUUGGGAAAGAAAAGCAGCAGGUUAAGACCCCGCUGUUCUGACGGUACCCAAAGAAUAAGCACCGGCUAACUUCGUG